GUCUCUUACAGCAAAAGGCGAUAGCUGUGGCUCCCAGGGCACUGAAAAUUCAUUCCUGCUGUGUUUUCCCCGCAACGUAGAGCCUCAGCACCGCUCUGCUCAGACUUUCAGUCCGCCAAGCACUUACCGCAAGUCUCCUUGUGCCGGACGGACCCCAGAGACCCAGGCAUGGUGGAACAGUCCUGGCCUCAGGACGCUCGCAGGCUCCCAGCAGAGAUGGCCACGUGCACGCCCAAUUACGGUCUCGUGCAGCCAAUGUCAAACAACGAUCAGAACGGCAACGGCAACUUGGCACGUGCCAGCCACGCAGAGAUGCAGGCUCCGAGACUAGGGAGCAGGAGUACAAUCGUGGCAAAGAAAAGCUAGGACGUUAAGAGCUAAAGUGAAUGGAGCCCUUCACUCUCUGAGCGCUCUGCAAAGAUUAAUUUACUUAAUCCUCACAGCCCCCUGAGGAGCACUGUUGUGGGCCCUGUUUUACAGACAAGGAAACCGAGUCAGAGGGGAAAGGCGGGCGGACGCUGGAAUCCUGCAAAACUCUGGAACCCAACAAGCCUGGGUUCCAGUUCUGCCGUGACAGACACGUGCUCGUCGCAUCCUGGGGAAGUCCCUUCACUUCUGAGCCUCUGUUCUCUGGUCCUGGAAGUGCUCAUGCCUGAGGGAAUGGCAGAACUGCUUCCUGAACUUCUUCCUCCUGGCAGUUAACCAAGCUUUCUUCGAAGAAAUCCUUUUCCACACUCGUGGCCCCAGAUAUGGGACUAGUCAUAUUCCUACCCCUAGGAGCUGCGGGAGGCGAGGACAUGCCAGCCGGCUGGCCUGGGAGGAGCUGGCAGCUUUCCCUCCGAAGCUUCCUGCCCACCCACUGGGCCCAGGGCCUGUUCCCCAUUCAGCUGCCUGCCGGGCCCCCUCCACCCCCCGCAGAGGGCGAACCAAGCAUCCUGAGCAUAUGGAGAAGGGGUUACUGGCAGCCCCCUGACUCAUCCUGCCGCUGAAUAAGCCGGGAAGGUGACUGAUUUAGGGAACAUGCCAAUUUGCUAUCAGGGCCUGAUCACUGGGACGCAGCUCCCCAGGGACAAGAAAAUGAAAAAUAUGACUAAACUGUCCUCCCACACGGGCUGUCAUUAAAACAGUGCUCGCUGUGUCACAGA